rnacentral:lncRNA from 1 species
AUUUUCUGCUUCCUGGGCCACCACAGUCUUCUUUGCUGUUUUUGAUUGAAACCAUUUUCAGAGAAGAAUCAACACCAAAGCCCCACUACCUGAAACAGAGCUGGCAUGUGGCAUAUCCUCAGAAACAUUUGCUAAAUGACACCUAGUCUACAGGAGGAGGACUCAUUCUUGACCAUUAGAUUUAGCCAUGCAGAAGUCAGAUCAAGAGUAAACAGAGCAAGAACAGUUUUGGUGCUGUGAUGGGUCAAAAGCCUGAGUCAGAUUACAUGUAUAUAAAUUACCUAGUAAUGAGCAUGACCUCUGUCCAAGCAGAAGGCAAGCAGGGGAGAAGCUUUAGCUGCCCAACUACAGUUAUUCUCUCAACCCAAGCUAAGGUAGUUGGUGCCAUACAUUUCCCACAGGACUACUAUUUUCCAAUAUCAACAUCUUUAAUUUAUUUAUUUAUUUUUGUUUUAGUGCACUAGCUGGA